rnacentral:lncRNA from 1 species
CAGUAGAACAAUAAAAGUCCUCUACCACUCCUUAGGCAUCCUCUCUAUACUGAAAAAAUCCCGCACCAUCUAUACGAUCUCGUGCUAGACGAUGAUCUAGUACCUCCUAAAGAAAAAGAAGAGAAAAGCCAUCGAGAUCUGUAGCCUUGUCCUCUACCAAUGACCACAACACCCUCUGAAUCUCCUCAACUGCUACCACCCUAGUC